GACGAACGCUGGCGGCGUGCCUAAUACAUGCAAGUAGAACGCUGAAGGAGGAGCUUGCUUCUCUGGAUGAGUUGCGAACGGGUGAGUAACGCGUAGGUAACCUGCCUGGUAGCGGGGGAUAACUAUUGGAAACGAUAGCUAAUACCGCAUAAGAGUAGAUGUUGCAUGACAUUUGCUUAAAAGGUGCAAUUGCAUCACUACCAGAUGGACCUGCGUUGUAUUAUCUAGUUGGUGGGGUAACGGCUCACCAAGGCGACGAUACAUAGCCGACCUGAGAGGGUGAUCGGCCACCCUGGGGCUGAGCCACGGCCCAGACUCCUACGGGAGGCAGCAGUAGGGAAUCUUCGGCAAUGGACGGAAGUCUGACCGAGCAACGCCGCGUGAGUGAAGAAGGUUUUCGGAUCGUAAAGCUCUGUUGUAAGAGAAGAACGAGUGUGAGAGUGGAAAGUUCACACUGUGACGGUAUCUUACCAGAAAGGGACGGCUAACUACGUG
rnacentral:rRNA from 1 species